UGGUUCAAGACCAAACAUAUAUAAACCGCUCUUGAUAAAAUAAUCCGAAACAGUAUCUCAAUUCCAAACUAAAUGCACGCCUAAUCAUGAUAGUAUUACAUAGAGAUAACUUCACCCACUCAUAGGGUUUUCAAGAUUUUACAUCGUUUAAUUUAAAGACCUAAGGCAAAACUUUUUCAACAAGGUACACACGUUCGCUACCUUACGACUAUGAGAAGAAACAAAUAUCAAAUCAUAACAACGAGAUUGAGUUGUCACACUCCCUAUCUUCUAGGUAAAUAAGGACUAUAACAGCUUGAAAACAGAAAAAAGGCCUUUGAGCGGCAUAUUCUCUCCCAAAAAAAAACCCUAGCCGCCUCCUUCUUAUAUCUCCAAUCCGUCGCUUCUCCGGUCCAUCGUUCUCUGUCAGCUCCGUGUAAGUUUCGUCGAAGCUCUUCAAUGCAGUGGUGGUAAGCGAUUUCUGAAAUUGAAUGCUCCUUUCUUCUUCUCCGGCGGUGCUGAGGUCUGGAUGAGCCGUUUCGUUGAGGCAGAGUGGUGGUUGUGGGCUUUCGAGACUCGUUCAGCGAGUUGCUGGAUCUCACCGGAUUUGGAUCCGCUAGAGGACGGCGAUGUAAAUCACGGAGGGAGAGCACUCAUCGAGCUGCUCUGCGGCGGAAAUCACGAGGCGGCUCGGAGGGUUGCACGGCGAGUCUAAGGGGUCGCGGUGGUCGGUGAUGCAGCUGCUGCGUUAGAAGACAGAUCUAGCGGUGAAGGGGUUGGAUUUAACUAUCCUCCUUUAUCUGCCGGUUUCUUGUUCCUCUGAUGACCGGAUCGAAGAUUUGAGUUGAGUUUGGAGAUCAGGCGAUGGGCCGGAGUUCCGGUGUCGGCGAAUAUGGUGGGAUCGGGGACUUCCCACUAUUGGCGAACCGUAAACCAUUGUCUGGUUCUUUCAAUUUUGUUUGAUUUCAAUUUUUGUAAACCAUUACCAAUUCUCAGUUCGGGUCGAUUAAUAAAAUUUUAUUUAAAAAAAAAAAGGACCAUAACAAAUUGACCCCUAAAAUUAAAUAAUUUUGUUAAGCUCCGAAGCCCAUGCUGCUUCCUUGGUUUAUAUCUCGAACCGGUACUAAAGAUGACUCUUAGAUCAGAAGCAGGUG
rnacentral:lncRNA from 1 species